CCAGAUUUAGGACGGCUUUAUAUUUUCUCCCUUGCCCCUAGCUUAUGUUCUCAAGGACGCCAUGGGAGAGGAGGAGGAGGAGAACGCGAGGAGGGAGGCUGCGUUGGCUGCAACGCCACUCCUCCAAACCAAUUUCAAAUCUUCGAAGGUCACCCAGUCUCAGCUCGACAAGUUCCGGGAACUACACAAUAAACGAUUGUUGUUAAAAGGAAAAAACAAAGGAUAAAGCAAAAUUUAAAGGGAAUUCUGGUAGGGAUGCGAAUCUGUGCUUGGAGGAGCUUGACAUUAAGGAUGGUAAAGAUAUAUCUGCAUCUGGUGACACUGAAGAUUCAAAUGUUUCCAAAUUAAAAGAGAAUACUUGCUUGGUAGAAAAAACAAAUCCAGACUCAAGGAAGAGACGGAAGUUACAUUGGGGGCUUGAUGCAAAGGAAAGAUGGGAAAGGAAAGCAAACAUGUAGAUUGUUGAGAAUUAACAUGCCAGCUCAAGUUGCAUGAUUGAUGCUGUAAAUAACUUUUAAAAAAAAAAUCAGCCAAAAUUUUGUACUUUCAACCUUUGUAAUGGAUCCAAAUGGGAAUUAUUUUUAAGAAAAAUGGUUGAUCUUAAAGCUAUGUCUCAAUUAAAUAUGAAGGUUGCUCUUAUCAGUUUGUGAUGUUGCAAUAUGCAUUAUAUAUUCACUUCAGGAUAAUUUUUAAAAGUUGGUACUGAUUUUCUUGAUGACAGGCCUGUCAAUGCCAUCAAAUGUGAGUGAUGAAAUGCGAAACAACUCGGCCAUGUAGAUUUAUAUUUGUUGCGAGACGCCAUGAUAAUUUUACAUUUUUGUGAAAGGACUAUAGUUUGUAGAGAAGGAAUCCAAUGGGGUAUGAAGGACCACAUAUGUUCACAAUGUGUACGUGAAGCAGCAAUGGAACUCACACCAACAACAUGAUCCAUUGCAAGCCAGAAACAGGGAUUUUAAAGCUUACGCUACUUUGGGCAUUUUAAAUUACAACUGCGGUUCGCAUAUCACAUCCCAACCAACUCACUCACACUGAAUGGGAACAUGAUAGCUGCAGCUACAACCAUUAGGAGAUCUGCCGAAUGUUAUUGAGUACUUGACAGUUAUUCGGCAGAAUUCUGAGAUGUGGCAAUGUCACAAAGCAAGAAGGCUAUACAGCAAUAUAGUACUUAUGGAACAUGGAAAACCUGCCUCAUUAUUGAAUUUAAAGAAACCAUUGUAAAGCUUAUUUUGU